GACGAACGCUGGCGGCGUGCUUCAUACAUGCAAGUCGAACGAGAAGCUGACUUCGGUCAGUGGAAAGUGGCGGACGGGUGCGUAAUAUGUAGGAAAUCUGCCUUUAGGAGGGGGACAACAGAGGGAAACUUCUGCUAAUACCCCAUAUGAGCGUAGCUGAAAUGCUAUUCUUGAAAACUCCGGUGCCUAAAGAUGAGCCUGCAUCUGAUUAGCUAGUUGGUAGUGUAAUGGACUACCAAGGCGACGAUCAGUAGCUGGUUUGAGAGGAUGAUCAGCCACAAUGGGACUGAGACACGACCCAGACUCCUACGGGAAGCAGCAGUAGGGAAUUGUGCGCAAUGGGCGAAAGCCAGACGCAGCAACGCCGCGUGAACGAUUAAGCCCUUCGGGGUGUAAAGUUCUGUCAGUGGGGACGAAACUUGACGGUACCCACAGAGGAAGCACCGGCUAACUCCGUG
rnacentral:rRNA from 1 species